AUUGAACGCUGGCGGCAGGCCUAACACAUGCAAGUCGAGCGAGCGGCGGACGGGUGAGUAAUGUCUGGGAAACCGCCGGAUGGAGGGGGAUCACUACUGGAAACGGUAGCGAAUACCGCAUACCAUCCGAUUUGCCCAGAUGGGAUUAGCUAGUAGGUGGGGUAACGGCCCACCUGGGCGACGAUACCUAGCUGGUCUGAGCGGUUGACCAGCCAAACUGGAACUGAGACACGGUCCAGACUCCGACGGGAGGCAGCAGUGGGGAAUAUUGCACAAUGGGCGCAAGCCUGAUGCAGCAAUGCCGCGUGUGUGAAGAAGGCUUUCGGGUUGUAAAGCACUGUCAGCGGGGAGGCGUUACCCGCAGAAGAAGCACCGGCUAACUCCGUGCCAGCAGCCGCGGUAAUAC
rnacentral:rRNA from 1 species